AGAGUUGAUCAUGGCUCAGGACGAACGCUGGCAGCGUGCCUAACACAUGCAAGUCGAACGGAACGAAAAGAGCUUGCUCUUGGCGUUAGUGGCGGACGGGUGAGUAACACGUGAGUAACCUGCCUUCAGAGGGGAAUAAUGUCUGGAAACGGACACUAAUACCGCAUAAUGUAUUUUAACCGCAUGGUUGAGAUACCAAAGGAGCAAUCCGCUGAAAGAUGGACUCGCGUCUGAUUAGCCAGUUGGCGGGGUAACGGCCCACCAAAGCGACGAUCAGUAGCCGGACUGAGAGGUUGAACGGCCACAUUGGGACUGAGACACGGCCCAGACUCCUACGGGAGGCAGCAGUGGGGGAUAUUGCACAAUGGGCGCAAGCCUGAUGCAGCAAACCGCCGCGUGCAGGAAGACGGUCUUCGGAUUGUAAACUGUUGUCCUCUGUGACGAUAAUGACGGUAGCAGAGGAGGAAGCCACGGCUAACUACGUGCCAGCAGCUGC
rnacentral:rRNA from 1 species